rnacentral:rRNA from 1 species
UGGGGAAUUUUGGACAAUGGGCGAAAGCCUGAUCCAGCAAUGCCGCGUGUGUGAAGAAGGCCUUCGGGUUGUAAAGCACUUUUGUCCGGAAAGAAAUCCUUGGCUCUAAUACAGUCGGGGGAUGACGGUACCGGAAGAAUAAGCACCGGCUAACUACGUGCCAGCAGCCGCGGUAAUACGUAGGGUGCAAGCGUUAAUCGGAAUUACUGGGCGUAAAGCGUGCGCAGGCGGUUUGCUAAGACCGAUGUGAAAUCCCCGGGCUCAACCUGGGAACUGCAUUGGUGACUGGCAGGCUAGAGUAUGGCAGAGGGGGGUAGAAUUCCACGUGUAGCAGUGAAAUGCGUAGAGAUGUGGAGGAAUACCGAUGGCGAAGGCAGCCCCCUGGGCCAAAUACUGACGCUCAUGCACGAAAGCGUGGGGAGCAAACAGGAUUAGAUACCCUGGUAGUCCACGCCCUAAACGAUGUCAACUAGUUGUUGGGGAUUCAUUUCCUUAGUAACGUAGCUAACGCGUGAAGUUGACCGCCUGGGGAGUACGGUCGCAAGAUU